GACGAACGCUGGCGGCGUGCUUAACACAUGCAAGUCGAACGGAAAGGCCCUUCGGGGUACUCGAGUGGCGAACGGGUGAGUAACACGUGGGUGAUCUGCCCUGCACUUUGGGAUAAGCCUGGGAAACUGGGUCUAAUACCGAAUAGGACCACGCGCUUCAUGGUGUGUGGUGGAAAGCUUUAGCGGUGUGGGAUGGGCCCGCGGCCUAUCAGCUUGUUGGUGGGGUAAUGGCCUACCAAGGCGACGACGGGUAGCCGGCCUGAGAGGGUGACCGGCCACACUGGGACUGAGAUACGGCCCAGACUCCUACGGGAGGCAGCAGUGGGGAAUAUUGCACAAUGGGCGCAAGCCUGAUGCAGCGACGCCGCGUGAGGGAUGACGGCCUUCGGGUUGUAAACCUCUUUCAAUAGGGACGAAGCGCAAGUGACGGUACCUAUAGAAGAAGCACCGGCCAACUACGUG
rnacentral:rRNA from 1 species